rnacentral:rRNA from 1 species
UACGGAGGAUCCAAGCGUUAUCCGGAUUCAUUGGGUUUAAAGGGUGCGUAGGCGGAAUGAUAAGUCAGUGGUGAAAUCUCGGAGCUUAAACUCCGAAACUGCCAUUGAUACUGUCAAUCUUGAGUACAUUUUGAUGUGGGCGGAAUGUGUCAUGUAGCGGUGAAAUGCUUAGAUAUGACACAGAACACCGAUUGCGAAAGGCAGCUCACAAAACUGUAACUGACGCUGAGGCACGAAGCGUGGGUAUCAAACAGG